CUGCACGGCUCCAGUGAAAGGUUCCGCCACCGAGGUAGACCCUCUUCAAUGGGAAAGUUCACUUUGUGGGGAGCUGUUCCUGUAAAGCAACCUCAGAGAUAUCAACAAUUGAAGCUCAUUUCCUGGCGUUUUCCAUGGUCUCAGAGAUAUCACCACCUAGCAAGAAAUACCAUUAACGAUGAGAGAUAAGAGCAAGAUUUAAAAUAAGGGUGGAGGCAACAAAGAAAAGGGAGACAAAAGUUAAUAUGAAGCACGAAGAAACAAUUUAAAAAGAAGCUCCCUACUUCCAAUGGUUCCUGAAAGAUCACCAACAAUGCCUCUACAGCGUUCUCAGCAAUCUCCUUCAGAAUUGUGGGGUGCAGUCAAUCUGGUGCAGGUUAUUUAUCCACCUUCAGACCUUUCAUCUUCGAGAUUGCCAAUCUACACUCUAACAGUAAUAAUACUCUGUUGCGCUAGGAACAAAACUGUAUCAAUUUACAAUCUCGUAAAGUGAAAUAAAUCUGUUACACUAGUAAUAUACCUUAUUCUAACAAAA